rnacentral:lncRNA from 1 species
UGGUCCCUCAUUUGAGUCCACCUGUGUAGGUUCGGACCCGAGGAACCGAGGACCCCAGCAGUGAGUCAGCUGCUUCAGUCAGUGUCAGAGCUAGCCUGAGGUGAGUGGAAUAACUCUUAUGCUUUUAAUUAAAUAAAUCAGUUUUGAGCAUGUUCAUGCAUCACGGAUGCCAUGUGAUAUUUUAGGAUGUUUGCAUUAGAAAUCACGAAUAUGUUGCAUUGCAUAAUAUGUUGUUGAUGUGGAUGAAUGUUGAAUGAUC